rnacentral:rRNA from 1 species
UACGUAGGCAGCGAGCGUUGUUCGGAGUUAUUGGGCGUAAAGAGCGUGUAGGCGGCCAUACAGGUCCGUUGUGAAAACUCGAGGCUCAACCUCGAGACGUCGAUGGAAACCGUAUGGCUAGAGUCCGGAAGAGGAGAGUGGAAUUCCUGGUGUAGCGGUGAAAUGCGCAGAUAUCAGGAAGAACACCCGUGGCGAAGGCGGCUCUCUGGGACGGUACUGACGCUGAGACGCGAAAGCGUGGGGAGCAAACAGG